rnacentral:RNase_P_RNA from 1 species
UUGACAAACGCUGCAAACUUGUUUUGUAGAGGAAAGUCCAUGCUCACAAAGUCUGUGAUGACUUUAGUGUUCGUGCAUAGGGAAAAAAUAACCUAUGGUAAGGAAACUUAACGGCCUCGAAAUAACCUAAGUCUUUGGAUAUGGUUAAAGUAGAUAUAAAAGUGUCAUAGUGACGAAGAUUCUGGAAACAGAUGAAAUGGAACGCGAUAAACCCCACGAGUGAGAAACCCAAAUUUUGGUAGGGGAACUUACCUAAGAGAAUACGAAUCUGCGGUAGGAUCCGAAAGGAUAGAUAAAUGUUUGUCACCUAGUAAUAGGUACAGAACAUGGCUUAUAA